rnacentral:lncRNA from 1 species
UGACCACAUCAAAGGUAGGGCUCCUAAUCAUAGAUGUCAUGAUUCCUCAUUCCUUUAUGCAUUGGAAGGGUUGGAUUAAAGGCUGCGGCUGCCAUGCUUCCUAGACAACCAGAAAGGAAGAACUCGCGACUGUAUGAUGGUUUUGUUUAGGGUUUUGCAUGAGACUGACAACUCACAGAAAUGAUUCUUCGAACUAAUGGGUGUUGGACCAAGAUUGCUUUAGUUGAAUUAAGGUUAAAAGGGAGGAAUACCAGCUUUAGAAUUAGGAUUCUUUGCAAGGGAAAAGUAUGUCUGCUACAGAGAAAGGGAUGAAUCCAUGAGCCCGAGACUCUAAGCUAAUGAUGAAGGCAAUAAUAUGAUGUGUGGGUCUCGAGGAGCUUACUUAAUCUGUCUGACCUUUUGCAUGUGUUUAGGGUUCUCGGUGGAGGAGAAUUGUCUGCGUGGAAGAAGCUUGGUUCAAUGGCAGUGGGAAGGGUGGUGCUGUGGUGCUACUGUUAACUGGAAGGAACCUGUUACCCAGGGUUUCCAGAUCUCUGACUUGUGACUUGAGGAACUUGAGGUAGUUGACAGCCUCAUCGAGCAUAGACGCAGUGUCCAUUCUGCUGCCCCCUGGGACCAGCCUUUGCAGUAUUCUCAGCCUCUCACUUAUCCUUUCCCUCCUAUGCCUUGCAGCCACAGUCUGUGGGUCACUCGAUAUCUUCACGUUCUUCCUCUGUGGCUUCUCCGCUGCCUCCUCCACCCCCAGACUCACCGGCCGCAGAGCUGCAGCCCUAUAGAUCAUCUCCUUCGCCUGC